GCUUGGCCGGUAGUAGGUAUUUG
rnacentral:siRNA from 1 species